GCCACUACCGAGAGCUCUGGGAGGGAUAUUGCUGGCCAACGGCGGCCAGGCGAUCGCCUCCAUGGCAUGGAAGCUUGAGGGGUCAUGUCCAUUAGGGAGAGUGGAGGAGAUCCGAUGAGUCCAUUCUCUAGAGUCCAGACUCCAGACUAGGAUAGAAUAAGGCUGAGGCAUCCAGUUUCAUCAAUUCAUCACGUCAGUUACCAGGCGCACGCCACAUGGCUGAUUACCAAGCCAAGAUGAAAGUGGUGGUGGCCGCAUCAAAGGAGAAGGUGCAACAAGACGAACCGAAAGCUGCUAUCUCAGAUGUGAAAUGUGACAACCCAAAAGAGGAGGGCAAUGUGCAGCAAACCAAAAGUUGUUGCCUCAAAUGUGAAAUGUGAUGACCUAGAGCAGGAGGAAGAUUCCAAUAAAAAUGGGGAACUGGAGGAGUGUAACAAAUGUGUAAUUUAUUUUUUCCACUCUAUAUGCUAUCUUAGAAGUUUCAAAAGUUCCUUGUUUGUGCGUAAUUCAAAAUUUACUAUUAGUCAUUGUUCCUGAACAACCCUUGAUUUUAUUUCUUGAAUGUGCACCUGAUUCGUCUAAUGGAAUCAUGGAACCACAUGUUGUGCUACUAUUUUGGUUAAGAAUUACAAUGAUCUUAAGG